CGGGUGAGUAACGCGUAGGAAUUUGCCUGAUAGAGGGGGAUAGCCCGGGGAAACUCGGAUUAAUACCGCAUACGCUCUACGGAGGAAAGCAGGGGAUCUUCGGACCUUGCGCUAUCAGAUAAGCCUGCGUGGGGUUAGCUAGUUGGUGAGGUAAAGGCUCACCAAGGCGACGAUCUCUAGCUGGUCUGAGAGGAUGAUCAGCCACACUGGAACUGAGACACGGUCCAG
rnacentral:rRNA from 1 species